UAGGGUGCAAGCGUUGUCCGGAAUUAUUGGGCGUAAAGAGCUCGUAGGCGGUCUGUCACGUCGGCUGUGAAAACCCGAGGCUCAACCUCGGGCCUGCAGUCGAUACGGGCAGACUAGAGUUCGGUAGGGGAGACUGGAAUUCCUGGUGUAGCGGUGAAAUGCGCAGAUAUCAGGAGGAACACCGGUGGCGAAGGCGGGUCUCUGGGCCGAUACUGACACUGAGAAGCGAAAGCGUGGGGAGCGAACAGG
rnacentral:rRNA from 1 species